AGCAGCCGCGGUAAUUCCAGCUCCAAUAGCGUAUAUUAAAGUUGUUGCAGUUAAAAAGCUCGUAGUUGAAUUUCGGAAUCUGUCCAUCGGUCGGGCUUCACUGUCCGUACUGGUGUGGUGGGUUCUUACCUUCUGAAUAACCAGCAUGCCAUUCACUUGGUGCGUUGGGGAAGCAGGACUAUUACCUUGAAAAAAUUAGAGUGCUCAAAGCAGGCUAGUGCCUGAAUACAUUAGCAUGGAAUAAUAAAAUAGGACGGCAUGGUUCUAUUUUGUUGGUUUCUAGGAUCACCGUAAUGAUUAAUAGGGAUAGUUGGGGGCAUUAGUAUUCAAUUGUCAGAGGUGAAAUUCUUGGAUUUAUUGAAGACUAACUACUGCGAAAGCAUUUGCCAAGGAUGUUUCAUUAAUCAAGAACGAAAGUUAGGGAUCGAAGACGAU
rnacentral:rRNA from 1 species